UUCACUUCCCAAUUUCUUUCUCUUCCUGUCAAACCCAUACCUCCACCAUCACCAUCGAGAAAUCUAUUCUUCCCCACCUAUCUCAGACUCUGUCUAAUAGCCUUUUUCCCAUCUCCAAAAUCUAAACCAAAACCCAUUCUCAUUUUAUGGUCAGAACCAUCAACUUCCUCUUGUCGUUGUAACCUAGCGAUAGGUAGGAUGGCUUGAUUGAUUGAGCAAGAAUGAAAAAGAUAUGAUGGAUUAUGUCCGCUGACGUUAUACUGGAAACAACAUCAAUAGACAAUAGGGUGGCUAUAAUAAAGACAUGCAUCAGUGGUACCUGCUGAGUUGAAAUACAAAUCAAGGAAAGGAAAGAUAAAGGAGCAGCAGAAACUGUUUUAUCGUGCCUAAACCCGGUUUUAUAUUGGCGCCCUGGCAAUCUCUGUUGAGUAACCAGGUACCUUUGAAACUGAAGCAGCAAAAUACUACCAGUUUUGUGCCGGCGGCAACAUUCUGGAACAAUAAUUGUUAACAGGUGCCUGCAAACCAAAGGAAAACGAGAAAAGGAGUAGAUCCCAGUUGUUAUUGUGGCUAAGCCCGAUUGGUAUCAUUCUCGAACCUCAGUAUACUUUAUAUUCGUAUGAAUAUGAAUGAUAAACCAUGAUAGCCUGAUAACCUAGCUGCUUGACUGAACAUUUUUCAAUCCCUGCAACAUAGUGCAUGAUCCUGUAGUGGCUGAAUUGUUAUAUCACUAUGCAUCUCUCAACCUCUGUUAAACCUUGUGACUGUCCUAACUCAGUCUGUCACUAGAUAGAGACCAUGUUUGGAUUUUGGUCUGCAACUAGGGAUGAAAACAAACACAUUAGAGAACUCACACAUGAGCAUGAUUCACAUUUUGAGUUUCCAUUAGACCAUGGUGUUGAUAAUUAUAGGGAUUAUUAUGGACAUUUUCAAGGUCCUGAGCUACGAUAUACAAACCCUAAUGAUUAUGCACACAUGUAUCACUCACCACCAGGGGAUGUUGAAAAAUUUUGUACUCCCCUGAUCCCUUGUAUGCAAUCUGUAAUGGAAAAUAUCAAACUCAUUGAACAAAAUAAUGCUAGAUUUGAAUUGCAAGCAUUGUAUGAUCAUCCAUAUAACGACGCCUAUGAAUUCCCCUUCUCUAGUGAACCUCAUGCACCACCAUGUACUGAAUAUCCAUGUGAAAUGAGGAUACCCACUAGUGAAGGCUCUCCUUCCAUUGAACAAAUUAAUAUGAUUCUUAAAAUGAACCUGAUUCAUUUACAAAGUGAAGAAAGGAAGGAAUUUCAUGAUGAGAUGUUUGUUAUUCCUAAUGAAGUAAAUUUUGAAAAUAGUGUUUAUGUUUCUACUCAGGAAACUAAUGUUGAAUAUGAACCUAAUCUAGAGGUAAAUGAGUGGACUAGAGACACUGUGGUUUUGAACAGGACAUUGAAUUCUUGUUAUGAUGAUGAUGAUGAUGUUAUGUUAGAAGAACAUGUUUAUGCUGAAAAUAUUGUGGAACCUUUGGGUUCAAAGAUAUUAGGCUUCUCUGCCUCGAUAUUCAUGAAUGAUAUUUCUUCUAGUAUUCCAUAAGCUUAUACAUAUGAUGUGGUUACUGAUCUGGAGCUUGUACAACUGUUAUGUUAAGAUGAGCAUGACUUAGGAAAGGUUGAAUCUUCUGUUGACACUAAUGUUCCUAUGCAUAAAAAUAUAAGCGAUGUGUCUGAUUCCCUGUCUAGGUCCCAACAUGAUAUUUCUUCUGAUUUGCCUAUGCUUGAAACUGAUGUUUUGAAUGCUGCUGAUGACACUGAAUUGGGGUUUGCUGAUUUGUUCAAUGAUUGUGAGCAUGAUAUAGCACUAUUUGUUUCUAACUUGGGAAAAACUAGACUGCAUAGUGAUAUUUUUGAGCCUAAAAAAUGAAUGUAAUUUAAAUGCAUCCGAUUCCCUGCUUAGAACACAGUAUGUUGCUCCCGCUGAUUCUCUUAUGCAUGACACAAAGGUUUCGGAUGAUGAUUAUGAACUAGAGCUUGAUGAAUUAUUCUGUGAAUGUGAGCAUGCUAUACCUGUUUCUGACUUAGGAAGUGUAUGUGAUGGUACUAAUGGCCUUUUACAUGACUUAGAUGUUCCUAUUUCCCUGCCCAUGUCACAGACUGGUAAUCUUGCACCCAACCUAGAUUUGGUUUGUAACAAAAUUGUAAAACCAACUUUUCUGAGAAUACCUAAUCUAGGAUUGGAACUGUGUGCCUCCCAAGUCCUCUUAGACUAUUUUGCAGACAAGUAUAAUGUUUUUGAGGAGCCACAGUUGAAAUGCAUAACUCUGCCUGUUCCUAACAAAGUCCAUUUUGAGUUAGACCUUGUGCAUGAUGAAUCCUUGAAAUUGUUGGAUUUUGUGUCCAAAAGUAUAUCCGUUGAAAAAUCCAGGUUUGGGGGUAACUCAUUCUGUCUGGCAUCCUCACUUAAAAUCCUGUCAUGUUAUAAUUUUGUGAGGCUACUGAAAUUUCUGCACUCUGUCUUUUGGUUUGAUCCUCAACUCUUUAGGUUGUAUAUUUACGGUGAAUCAUAUGUGUAUAUAAUCCAGUAGGUAAAUGUUUAAUAUCUCUAUCUUGAGUCAGUCUUAUUUUUCUUUGGUAUAUACAUGUGCUAAUCCAAUGUAAUCUCAGCUGAAAAAUGUUAGAUUCUAUCCGAGAAUAGUGGAGUUCAGUUAUUUCUUUCGUCAAAUCUGGUAAUCUCGUUCCUUUUCUCUUCUCAGCAUUGUUCUAAUGGUAUGUUGUUGUUCAAUCCUGUUUAUCUUUUGAAACAUCGAGGACAAUGUUUAGUUUAGAUUUGGGGGUGAAGAGUAAAUACCAUGUAACCUACUGUGCUAUAUUUAGAAACUGAACUCUGCCAUAAAAAAAAAUAAAAAUAAAAAAUGAAUAAAUGAAUAAAUGAAAAAUGGAGCUCAUUUGCCUUGAUUUGUGAUACCUUCUCAUGUAUGAUAUCUUAGGGUUCUUAGUCUAGAGAUGAGGCACCUCUGAUUCUAGCACAAUCCACAUGUGAUAUAGAAAAUUUGCACAUGCACGACUACCAAGCGUGUAUAGCGUCGAUGUUUCGUAGGUUAAGUAGGCUGCCAAUCAUCCAGAAUACUGAAUGAGACUUGACUAGCUUGUUCUUUGGUUGGCUGGGAUAGAAGUUGGAGGAUACAUUAAGAAAAGCAACCAUUGAAUUUGACCGGGUGCAUCGAAAAGGGAUACCUCUUGCUAAAAGUGUCAUGUAUUCUUCUGUUUUCUGUAAAGUUAUUGUGUCAUCUUAUGUUUGUAUCUCUUGUUAUUCCAAAAUCAGUUGAAAAAAAAAUCAAAAAAAAAAGAAAAAGAUAUGAUGGAUUAUGUCCGCUGACGUUAUACUGGCAACAACAUCAACAUACAAUAGGGUGGCUAUAAUAAAGACAUGCAUCAGUGGUGAGUUUUGUAAACAUCAAAUCCCUAAUUUUCUAAUUGUACUUUAUUGAGAAUGGGAUUGAGAUUUGGGAAAAUUUUGUAUAAAUAGGGGAGGAAGAUGUAUAUUGAAACCAAGCCCGGACUAGCCGGAGCAACUAGCAGUAGUAAAUUAGGUUUAAUUUCAUUUUGUAUUAUGUUCUAAACACCUUUGUUAGGGCUUAGAUGAAACUCUUAAUCUAACAUCAGAUAAUUUUGGUUA